CGCGCCGAUGAUAGUGUGGGGUCUCCCCAUGUGAAAGUAGGUUAUCGUCAAGC
rnacentral:rRNA from 1 species